CACCCUUUAAUGUUUGAUGUUCUAACGUUGGCCCCUUACCGGGGUUGCGGACAGUGUCUGGUGGGUAGUUUGACUGGGGCGGUCUCCUCCCAAAGCGUAACGGAGGAGCACGAAGGUUAGCUAAUCCUGGUCGGACAUCAGGAGGUUAGUGCAAUGGCAUAAGCUAGCUUGACUGCGAGCGUGACGGCGCGAGCAGGUGCGAAAGCAGGUCAUAGUGAUCCGGUGGUUCUGAAUGGAAGGGCCAUCGCUCAACGGAUAAAAGGUACUCCGGGGAUAACAGGCUGAUACCGCCCAAGAGUUCAUAUCGACGGCGGUGUUUGGCACCUCGAUGUCGGCUCAUCACAUCCUGGGGCUGAAGUAGGUCCCAAGGGUAUGGCUGUUCGCCAUUUAAAGUGGUACGCGAGCUGGGUUUAGAACGUCGUGAGACAGUUCGGUCCCUAUCUGCCGUGGGCGCUGGAGAAUUGAGGGGGGCUGCUCCUAGUACGAGAGGACCGGAGUGGACGCAUCACUGGUGUUCGGGUUGUCAUGCCAAUGGCACUGCCCGGUAGCUAAAUGCGGAAGAGAUAAGUGCUGAAAGCAUCUAAGCACGAAACUUGCCCCGAGAUGAGUUCUCCCUGAGACUU
rnacentral:rRNA from 1 species